rnacentral:lncRNA from 13 species
UUAUCUACCAUUCAGAUUUUUUUUUUACCAUGACUUAAAAACGUAGCCCAAGCCUAUGCAACAAUAAAAACAGUACUAUAGCAAUGAGGUUUGUGCAGUAGGCUAUAGGCCCAAUACAUUAUCAUUGUGUAACCUACAAGGUUCUAUAGUUUCUUGAUGUGUUGGGGCUGUAGGCUCCACCCUGAUCACUCCCUAGGCCUAGACACACCCAUUGUCACUUCCUGCUUUGAGUGGCUAUAGGAAGUGGGUGUGUCAAGUCCAGCAUGGAUUUUGACAGGAGAAAGGUGGGAGAAUAAAGAUUUUGUUGCUCGGGAAACUUCUGUUAGUUGGAAGAACCUAGUUUUCUUGUGAUGCUGGACAGGCUAUUUCCACAGGCCUAUAAAUGUUUUGAGGGGUGGGGCCUUUGUGGAUUUCCUUCUGAUCAUUUUUCUGAACCGAUCAACUGCACUGGUAAGAUCUUUCUUUAUUUUCUUGAAUUGCCCUGCCAAUGCACUGUUGGUGAGACCAUUUGUUUGUGUUCUUAUUUGUUUUAUUUGAGGUAGGCUAUACGAUCAUACAGGUCAUGGAUCCGCUGUUGUAUUACUUGAGAGACAUAGCUGAGUGAGUGUACAUUUUAAAUACUGUGCUUUUUUAUUUGUAUUUUACUGGGCUGAUGGUGCCUGCGUCUGACAGUCAGUCUCAGCCGUGGGAGAGUUUAGCAGACUGAGGUCUGCCUGUCAACGUUCCUCCGCUGACACUGACCAAAAAGGACAGUCUUCUUCAUCUGUGGGGGUUUAUCAGCAGUUUGCAUCCAACAUUAUGGUGCAUUAUCGCCACCUAAUGUACUGGAGUGUGGGCUAGAGACAAGGAGGAUCUAAAUCCUACCUGCCAUUUGCUCUUAAAAAAAGAUAACAAAAUAUUUGAGACUAUUUCUAAUGACGUACUACUCAAUUAUACUCCUAAUUUCCUGUAUCCCAUUCUCUCUCAUACUCGAUCUCAGCAUCUCUCUUUCCCUCUGAUACUGCCCACACUGCAUGUGUGUAUAUUACAAAAAGUAAUAUUGAAGCACUGGUUGGAUUCAUAAAUUGUUUCAAAAUAAAAAAUGUCACAUUGUAAAAGUACACUGCACCGCAUGCUCCACGGUCUCUGUUUCCUGGCAAUAAUCACACUUUCCUGUUGGAUGCUUUCCUAUCACAUGUAAGGUCUUAUUCAAUUGGCUGGGUCCCACCCUUAAUGUUGUAAAUAUAGCCUCCUCUCUUCUGUGCCUUCCUGCCGUUCUCCCCUCCC